CAGUAAUCCAAAGCUCAAACAUCUGAAAGUAAGUCGGCUUCAUCAAGUUCCUGUCCAGAUACCAACAAGCAAAAGCUUCCUAAGCCAACAGAUUUAGAAGAUUUGACUGCUGAAAAGGAAAACACAACUCAAGUGCAACAAUUGUAAACAUAAGAAGGAAGAAACACGUCAUGCCCAACCAGAACACGCUCAACCUACAAACAACAGCCUUCAUCUUAUGAUAUGAAACCACUUCUAAGCAUCUCAAAAGACCAUUUUCAGAUGGUUAGCAAAGUAACAGCUUGUUGACUCCCAGAGAAAAGAUAGAGCUGACUCCAAUACUGUGGGUGCUCAAAUGCAGCCAUUCAAUAGCAAUAGAACACAACCCCGGCUUAUUG
ensembl:lncRNA